CCCCCCCCCCCGAUAUUGAUCUGAAACCACUGGGCUGCACAAUCUCCAUCACAUCACUCAACAACCAUUCAAUCCACCUCCUCAAAUGGAACCAUCCCAUUGGUUUCAACAGGAAGAAGUCAUAGUCAUGGCCACUGGAGAAGAGGAUGCGAUGUUUGGUCGUGGAUCUAUCAUCACUCCAUUGUACAAGCGCUCCAGGAAUGUGACGACCUGAAGUGAUGUGUCGCCACCCGAAUCGGGCGCUCUGGUUGGGCCCCGGCCAGUACACGGGCCAGCCGCCAUGACCGGAAGCAGCUCCACUUUACUGCCGGCCAGAUGGUUCCAAGCUGCGGAAUCGUCUCGCUCCGAGCACCGUGUCACGAAUCGCCCUGCACCGAACUCCCGCCUGUCCACAGUGACCGGCGGUCAGCGCCGGUCAAUGCACUGCUUCUCUGUAAGUCAUGUGGCCUGAGAAGUACAGCGCACCUUUGCCUGGCUGCAGCUUCGCUGGGUGGAGAGGCGAGAGGACGUUCGCCGUCCGCGGGAGACACCCGUGGCCGCGGUGGUCAGCGAAGACCGACGCUACUGUCAUCAUCUGGAUCGGCUUGAAAUAUUCUUCCGCAACAUCUCCAGCCCUUGCUGCGACCAUAUUCUCUUCUUCCUCAUCAGCUCAAAGACUUGGAAAAAAAACAACAAAAACGAAGCAAAAUCAAGGAAGUGCUGGGAAUACCUCAGAUUUCUUGAGACAUUUAUGAAAUAUCUCUCCCUUUCUACGUCUUCCAACUUGAAAGAACAGAAACUUCAUUGUCAAGAAAGAACUGACUCAAGAGUUCUUCGGUGGUUCAAACUCGUGUUGGUGUUUGAAGUUUUAGUUCAAUGUGUUUAAUAUUCAAUGUUUGCUGCAUUUUUACCAUUGUGCUGUAUUAUAUCCCGGAAUAAACGGAUAAAAACACUAA
rnacentral:lncRNA from 1 species